AAUUGAGGGUCUUGUGGAGGCCCUUUGUGAGGAAUCUGGAGGUAAAGAACUUUGUCUGGAGUUAGUGGAUAUCUAUCAAGUUGCUUAUCUAUCUCCUCCUCCUCUUUCUUCCCUGUCUGGCUCUGUGCUCUGGCCCAUGCAUACAUACAUAUAUAUAAAUCUUUACUACUCCACUUGCCAUGGCCCAUGGCGAUUUGAUUUCCUUGUUCACCCAAUCUCACUUGUUGAUGUGUGCACCCCUGUUCUUUUUUCCAAAAGAAAUAAAGGAGAGUGACAACACAAUUCAUUCAUGGCAAAGUUUCUCUUCCAUUGGCAAGUAUGCUCCAUUCAUACAGCUGCCAUUUGGCUACAUACUCUGCAGGGGAUGUUGUUAUGUAUGAAAGCGAUUUGCCAUUUCACAAAGUCAUGAAUCUUGUUGGGAUUAUCAGGAAUGCCGACAAUUUCGGACUCUAGGGUGACUGUUAGGUUAGGCCAUAACAGGCAAUCCUUCCUGCAACAGGUAUCUUGUCUUGUCUUGUGCACUACUGUUGGUUGGACAAUUGUGUGCUGUACACUGCUGACACAGUUCAACACAACCUUUUUUUAAAUUUCAGUGGGAGUACCUAGCUUUUCUGGAAACUAAUUGCUUGCACUAAAAGCAUGUUGGUUAGGUCAGAACUCACAAUAAGUACUGAUCAUUAUUCAACGAUGGUGUUCUAUAAAACACACAUGCUUUCCGGGAUCUCCCCUAUCAGUAUUACAGCCUUGUGAUCUGAAAAAAAAGUGAUGAGAGAACUAACAACUAAAGCUGCAAAGGUAGUCUUUCAUGGUGAGAUAGAUGAGACGGAAGCCGAGUUCUUGCCAUCUUGCUCUCCUUUGUUUGUGCAAGUGUGACGGCGAUGACGUUGGAAUCCGGAUGCUUUGGGUUGGGAUGGAUAGGGCUUGCAUUUGAUACUGAGUCAACUUGAUCAAGAUAGAAAAGGAGAGGCACCUAGGGGUUCCUCUUCCUUCCAGGCUCCCACAUACUUAACCAUAUCUGCAGGGGGCAGGACCAACAUAUGUCCUUUUCGGUCAGAUAUGCAGAUCUAGGUGCAUAUUUUCAAGCACAAUUUCACAGGGACCCAUUGGUAUCUUGUUCCUUUGUUUGUCCACUCUGGAAACACAUCGCUUGUUUGCUAACCCUGUUGGCCUGUUCCCCUGUUGCAAGUGCUGUGCUGAUGUCAGUUCAGGUAUCAAGUUGCCCUCCAUCCUGUAACUUGCGAUAUGAUCUUAACUCCAGAUGUUGUGUUCAUUUGGCUUAUCGUCUAGGACACUACAACCUGAAAGUGAUAGUGGUUGCUAAUUGGUGAAAAAAGCCGAUUUGUUUUGAUAUUCCUGUCUUCAGAGGGAGGGCAACUGCCAAAGUUUUCCAAACUGAUUAGACAGUAUGCUGGAUGCCAGUUCAUGUGAUAAAUGAGCACAAGUAUUCCUCUUGAGAGGGAAAACGAUGAAGAUUAGUCAAAUCUCCUGUUCCAAAAGCCGGACAAAGUUUCUUUUCUACUAGGAGUUUCUUCCACGGUUGCUGUUUUCUGCCACUUCAUGUACUGGAUUACUGACUCAUCAUCAGACAAUGCACCGCUGGUUGCAGAUGCAUGUGGUCUAUAGAAGUCUCCUCUCUCAAGACCAUGUUCGGUCACAACUCACAACAGCAGCUCUAGAUCUAGCAGCAGAAAAAAAAAUGUGAGAAAGAGAUGUGUACUGGUGACGUGGUGCAUGGUUAGAGCUGCCGAAGUACAGAGAGUGGUUGACAUGGGUGCAAGAAAAUCUGGACUUGAUCAGGCCUACCUCCAUGAUCCUGUGUCUGUAUUAGCCGCCUUUCUGGUACGGCACGACAUUGACCUCAAGGUAAGAUUUGUUGAGAAGAUGUACAGAAGCUUCUGAAGACGUUGGGCAGUAAUUUUCAGCAGUAGUUACACCUGUUAAAGGUAACUGAAACUGACUCUUGUCAGUGACAAGUGCCACAAGAUAGUUUACGCUCAUGCUUUUCGUAUGCAUAUAUAAGUUUCUUGGCUAUAAUCUGCACACGGGAGGAUACUUGUCGUAUGCAGAUUGCUUACCUAAUCUCAGAUACGGAGAUUGCUUUCUCAUAGGAAGAUCGCACGAUCUGAUUACUUCAGAGAAAAUGUUAAUCUAUUUCUCUAUUUUCUCCCCAUGGGGCUAGUAAUCACUAGUUCUUUUUACUGUUUGUUGUGUUUUCUAAUUCCGCAUGGGGCUAGUACACUUUUUUUUUUCUUACACUUGUAGUAGUUUCUCUGAGAUAGAGUAUUUCAUAAGCAACUGAGUACACUGAAUUUCUUUUCAGGUGACAUUAGUAUGCACGCCUAAGAUCUGAAACCUAAUACCAAAAGUUAAGUUCUCUUCAUCUCUUGUUCAGUUGUUCUCACUCCAGGCUCCCUUUUCUUCCGAAAAGGACGGCAAGAGCUUUGCUGUGAAGUUCUCAUUAGAAGAGAGAACAAAGACAAAAACGUACAGCUGGAAAGGAAAAAAACAGAGGCAAUUGGAGCUGGGCACUUCUCCAACUAGUUCUUUCUUUGUUUUUUUUGACUGGAACAUAGCCGUCGACAAGGUAGUGGACAGUGGAUCCUCACUAUAUCCAUAUCCUUCAUAUUGUUUGCUUCGUUCUAGCAAUGAAAGAACAGAACCAUGUCAGAUUGUCAGAAGAAAGAAGGGUUAACCAUCAAAUGGAUCUCUGAAUCAGAAAGCUAAUUUGAACCAUCAGAAAUGCAGAGGCAUUCCUAAAUGAUUCAAUCUCUGAUCAGAGGGCACUGCUGGUUUGAGAUCUGAAACCAGUUUCAGCGGGCAUACAUCAUCGCUAAUUCCAACUGGCAUUUUUUCAGGCGGUUUGUUCUGUGAAGCCACUGCACAAAUUUUCAUGUAUUUUGAAAAUACGGCAAGUGAUUUGCCGUGUUAUAUUAUUAUUAGAAGAGAGAACAACAUGUACAUCCCAAAAUGUUAAAAGGAGGCCCAGAAAACCAAGAAUAAAGAACAGCCAGCAACCAAACAAUACAGCAGCUGAAACACCUGCAUACGGCAACAGCCAAAGGGCUAACAGAGGAACCGAAGC